ACAGUCCCUUGAUGCAUUAUAUUGAAGCCAAUCCUUGUGUGAAUGACAUGACCCGUUGUUACUGCCCAGAUCAAACCAGAACCAAAGGACUGUUGCACUUGGGCCCAGAGCCUUGGGCUGAGGCUGCCGUGACCACCCUGUUCUCUUCCUUCUGGAGUCCCCAGGAUGCUCCCAGGCCACCACAACCAAGAGGCCAUCAUGGAGGUUGUCCCUGAGCUGUGGGUUCCUGUGGGAUGCAGGCUCCCACGGAUACUUCAGGG
rnacentral:lncRNA from 1 species